rnacentral:lncRNA from 1 species
GACUUCAAAACAAAAAAUUUCUGGCUCUGCCACCGCCUGUGAUCACAUAGUUUAAUCAACAUCUGUCUAUACAUUUCUAACCUGUUGUAGUAAUUCCAAAUAAAAAGAGGGAUACUAUAAUAUCUUAAGCGAUACGGAAACCACCUCGAUCGGCAGAGUUUGUUGGAUUCACACGUUAUCUCUUGCCUCCCCCCAGUGGGGCUGAAGUUCAUGAAGGAAAAUCGAUCAUCUUCUGCUCUUUCGUUCAUCAUAAUCUCUGUUUGACUUGGUUCUACACACAGACACACAUGUCCAAAUUUUCAAAUUAAUAGUAUUUAUGUAAAAAUAGAAAAGAAGAAGGCAAAUUGUGCGGCGUCUCUUUUAAUUCGUUUCCAGAGACAGAAGAAGCUGAGGAUGAACACAAGAAGUCCUACCACGAUGAGCCCAAUGAGAGAAUCACAAAGGGGUUCUCCUUGAGCUGCAAGAAACCGAGCUCAAUGACAUUAAUCAGAAAACAUAAUCAGACAUAUUAAGUAGAGAAGGAAGAGGAAGAGUCGAAACAAAUAUUAACUUCCAUCAUGUCAACUCAAAGGAUGGUUUCCAACUAGUGCGUGACAGAAAAAAAAGUUUCUAUAAGAACACUUUGGAUCGUUUUGAUGUUCUCUCGCUCAUUAUUCAAUUGGCACUCCUCAACAAUAUUUAUAAACGGGGGAGAGACCCUGUUUGUUCUAACCAUCAACGAUCUCUCUGCUCUACUGAACAAUGCCUCUAUCUCCAUACCCUACUUGUUCUAACGAUCAACUGUCUCUCUGACCUACUGAACAAUGCCUCCACACCCUAUUUGUUUCAACCAUACCAUCUCUCGGCCCUACUGAACAAUGCCUCUAUCGCCAUACCCUGUUUGUUCUAACCAUCACCUAACUCUCUGCCCUACUGAACAUUGUGCUCUAAAAACUGUCAUUUUGCUCUGAGAUAUAAGAGAUUACCAGCAAAUUCUGAUAUUAAAUUAGGGUAUGUAGACGAAAGGCAUACGUACCGUUACGAGGUUGUGUUUUCGUGAAAGGUGAAUCCAUCUAUAUGUUACAAUGAAGUUGACAAGUCUCAUU